GACGAACGCUGGCGGCGUGCUUAACACAUGCAAGUCGAACGGAAAGGCCCUGCUUUUGUGGGGUGCUCGAGUGGCGAACGGGUGAGUAACACGUGAGUAACCUGCCCUUGACUUUGGGAUAACUUCAGGAAACUGGGGCUAAUACCGGAUAGGAGCUCCUGCUGCAUGGUGGGGGUUGGAAAGUUUCGGCGGUUGGGGAUGGACUCGCGGCUUAUCAGCUUGUUGGUGGGGUAGUGGCUUACCAAGGCUUUGACGGGUAGCCGGCCUGAGAGGGUGACCGGCCACAUUGGGACUGAGAUACGGCGCAGACUCCUACGGGAGGCAGCAGUGAGGAAUAUUGCACAAUGGGCGGAAGCCUGAUGCAGCAACGCCGCGUGCGGGAUGACGGCCUUCGGGUUGUAAACCGCUUUCGCCUGUGACGAAGCGUGAGUGACGGUAAUGGGUAAAGAAGCACCGGCUAACUACGUG
rnacentral:rRNA from 1 species